AUACGUCGGGGGCGAGCGUUGUCCGGAAUGAUUGGGCGUAAAGGGCGCGUAGGCGGCCCGGUAAGUCUGGAGUGAAAGUCCUGUUUUUAAGAUGGGAAUUGCUUUGGAUACUGUCGGGCUUGCGUGCAGGAGAGGUAAGUGGAAUUCCCCGUGUAGCGGUGAACUGCGUAGAGAUUGGGAGGAACACCAGUGGCGAAGGCGACUUACUGGACUGUAACUGACGCUGAGGCGCGAAAGUGUGGGGAGCAAACAGGAUUAGAUGCCCUGGUAGUCCACACUGUAAACGAUGAAUGCUAGGUGUAGGGGGUAUCGACCCCUUCUGUGCCGCAGUCAACACAAUAAGCAUUCCGCCUGGGGAGUACGGCCGCGAGGUUGAAACUCAAAGGAGUUGACGGGG
rnacentral:rRNA from 1 species